rnacentral:tRNA from 1 species
GCAAGUAUCGAUUAAUGGUAAGUUCUCUGCCUUCCAAGCAGAAGAUAGGAGUUCGAUUCUCCUUAUUUGCA